AUCAGUCACCAAGGUAGAUUCAUUCCCCAGUAAAUAGUGCCCGAGGGCUUCCAGGACCUAUUUUACUGCUAAGCACUCUCUUUCCAAUGCUUGAAUACCUCUGUUCCCAGUGGAGCCGUUGCUGGCUGAUAUAUAUAUGAUAUGGGGAGUCCUGGUGACUUUUUUAUUUUUGCUCUGCUCAGCUCCUGGCCUCAUCUGAGCUGUGUUGGGCUGCACGAUGGAUGAUAUGUUCCAGGCUUUCCAUGUCUGGGGGCAAAUUGGGGCGAGAUGGCGCCGGGGGACCUGCGUGGUGGAGCCUGGUGCUGGGACAGCUUGCGAGGAGAGGGUGCAUAGAGGCUGGAGCAAUGGAGGAUGCUGGGGACACGUGCAGGGCUGACCGGCAGUGAUGAUCAAUGGGUCUCUAUUGCCUUCAGUUUUGUUCUUGUACAUGUACUCAGGUGCAGAAUGGAUCAGAUCAACCAGGUAGCUUACUACUAGCAUCACCUUCAACCUCCAAGUGUUGCGUACCUCAACAUCUCGAGCCGUGGAGGGCAUUGCACUGAUGCUCCCUGUAAGUGGAUCGCUGCUGGGAGGCACCAGAAGAAAAAAGGUGCUCCUGAUGAUCUCUGCUGCUUGUCUGGAGCCUCUAUUCUGGUCACUGUGACCUGCUGGCAAUAUGUCACCUUAGGUGGCGAAUUGCAGGGAUGUUCCCUGUGAUGUGAGAGCUGGAAGCUGGGUCUCUCACUGGAAGCAUCCCUCUCACUUAAGCAGCCUGUGUGUUGACACCAGCAACAAAUCUGGCCUUCGGAUGCCUUGACUGCUGCUACCUUAUUUAUGGCCUGGUGGAGGAUACGAGGGGAGGCAGUGCCUCCAGGCAGCCUUUUUCUGUCUUCUCCGGGCCCCUGUGCAGUGCUUGCAGGAAGAGGCUGGGCAGUGAUGCUGAGCCCACAAUGAUGCUCUUGCCUUUGCCAAGGACCAGGUGACCUCAUCAUCACUGCUGUCCCAAGGACAGGCUGCCAGAAGAUGCUGCAGUCACUGGAGAAUGCAUCUUUGGGGGAGCAGGAGCCCUCCAGGUCCUUGCUCAAGGAUUCCAGAUUGGCACCCUGUGAUGGAGGCCAGGAG